AUUAGAUACCCGGGUAGUCCACGCUGUAAACGAUGCAUACUUGGUCGGAGUGGUUUGACUCCAUUCCGGCCGUAGGAAAACUGAUGAGUAUGCCGCCUGGGGAGUACGGUCGCAAGAUUAAAACUCAAAGGAAUUGACGGGGGCUCACACAAGCGGUGGAGCAUGUGGCUUAAUUCGAAGCAACGCGAAGAACCUUACCUAGGCUUGACAUUCACGGAUAAACUCUAUGAAAGUAGAGGUACACCCGCAAGGGCGGAACGUGAACAGGUGCUGCAUGGCUGUCGUCAGCUCGUGCUGUGAAGUGUCGGGUUAAGUCCCUCAACGAGCGCAACCCCUGUCGCUACUUGCUAACGCGUAAUGGCGAGGACUGUAGCGAGACUGCCGGUGUCAAACCGGAGGAAGGUGGGGAUGACGUCAAGUCCUCAUGGCCUUUAUGUCUAGGGCUGCACACGUGCUACAAUGGUAUGUACAGAACGAUGCAAGACCGCAAGGUGGAGCAAAUCGCUAAAGCAUACCCCAGUUCAGAUUGCGGGCUGAAAUUCGCCCGCAUGAAGUUGGAAUCGCUAGUAAUCGCGGAUCAGCUACGCCGCGGUGAAUAUGUUCCUGAGCCUUGUACACACCGCCCGUCAAGUCAUGGGAGCUGGCAGUGCCCGAAGUCGCGCAAUUUCAUGCGUGCCCACGGCAAGGCUGGUGACUGGGACUAAGUCGUAACAAGGUAAC
rnacentral:rRNA from 1 species